UUUCCGUAGGUGAACCUGCGGAAGGAUCAUUAGUGAAAUCCAAAUGGUUGGUGUUCCAGCAUCUCACGAGCUGGACCCUUCCGUCCUCACAUACACCUUUGUCGAACUGUCGGGAGUUGGUUCUGCCUUCUCUCACCUUUCAAACUCUUAAGUUUUUGAAUGAAGUCUUGGUGAAAACCAAAAACACAACUUUCAACAACGGAUCUCUUGGCUCUCGCAUCGAUGAAGAACGCAGC
rnacentral:misc_RNA from 1 species